AGGAAGAUUUUUGUGUCACCUGGGAGGAGAUGGGAAGUUUGUUCCACCCCUGCAUUGUGGGAUUCUCCAGGAGAAUGUGACAGAUACUGUCAGUGACAGCUUUAAAACAUGAGAUCGAUGACACAGACAUAGAUGAGCAGGAAAAAUUGUUAAUAAGAACUGCAGACAGGACAUUGCAGACUGUAUCUGCCUCAUGAAAUGUUAUUUGCUGCCAACACAUUGCAGUAAAGAAAGACUGUUCUACCUGGAAAUAGAUGAGAAAAAUAAAGUGAAGAGUCACUUUCAGAAACGUGCCAGGUUUGCAAGGCAUCUGCUCCUGUGGGGAUGGGAUGCUGUGCCAGGAUGUGCUUCUGGAAGGGGAGCUCAGCCCACUCACUGGUCCAGCCCAGUGGAAGAGGAGUGCAGCUACAAGAUGUGUGGAGAGCAGAAUGCUGCAAGGAAUGAAGAAAAUAAGAAAUAGAGUAAAUGGAGUGAAGGUUGCAUGGGCUGGUCACUAGUGCUCACUGAAGGAAUGUUGGAGGAUCUCCUGUUGGGCUGACAGAGGCUGAUCCAGCACAGAGAUGCAGUGCCUGGUUCCCAGAGGAGAGGCUGAGCCUCUGCAGCAGUGAUGACUGCACUCCUGGUGCUGGGAAUCCAGGGAUGCUCACACCAGGCACAUGGAGAGCAACUAAGGAAAACAGGUGAUUUCCAUAGGAACAAAGUAGUCCCUUGCUGUAAUGCAAAUACCUCUGGGGUUAAACACUUCUGGUUAACUCCCAGCCCAGAAGCAAAUCACAUCUCUUCCUUCGACAAAAAAAAGGAAAAUCAAAAGAGAAGAAUUGGAUAGAGGGGAAGAAUUUGAUUUGUGAGGGUUCUCUUCAGAAAGUACCAUGAGAUCUUAAAGAAGGCAGCAGGAUUAGAGUUCCUAUUGCUUGUGAAUUGCCUGAACUGCAUGAGUGAGCUUUAAGGAGAGCUGUAAUGAAGAAAUAAAACAGCUUACAAGCUACAUCAGCCCUGGAAAAUAGAAGCACUUCACAAAUGGUUUCAUCUUCUUUGACUGGUGAUACCCAACAGUGAUGUACAAUUACUUCUUCUUGUAGUUCUUUUGUUGUAUCUGAAACACAAAGCUUUCAGUCUAAACCUGGUUAAAGAGUAAAACAAGGGAAUGCAGCAAUUUCUAAGCUAGCCAUUAGAUCAGCAGCAGGGCUGUCUCAGG